AAUCCAGUGUCUGAACUGUCAGCCCGACCAGCUUAGUUUGUUUUGAUCAAGGUGUGUAUAUAUAAAUAAGGUGUGUAUAUAUAAAUAAGGUGUGUAUAUAUAAAUAUCAUGUGAUGUCGGAAAAGAUAUUAAAAAAGCUUUUGUUCGGAUAUAUAUAACUGCACUGGAAGAGUGGGAUGGCGUUUUUGAGCUACAACAUUAACCAAUGCAUUCACCAUCAAGAGCAGAUACUAAAACCUAUCCUGCAGAAAUUGAGCCUCGCGGACGGAGGUUUGAUUAAAUACCACAUACGGUUACACACAGUGACUUUCAACACAUUUCGGCUGGUUCGUCACUUUUUACUUUCAUUUUUGGAUGAAUGUCGGGAGUGAGAAUUGAACUCGUGAAACCACAAUACUCGUCAUACUCUAUGUCCCUUUAUGGUCAUGCAAGGUGUCGUCAGUGCACUCUGUAGUCAUUAUUUGUUGGUUUUUAAUGCUUCUUGCGCAUUGACAAUUAGCUAAAACUUUGUGAUGGCCAAUUUUUACUUUACACAGAAACAGGUAAGCGAUCUACUCAUAUGUUUUAUAUAGGAUAAGCUGUUUCAUAGGAUUUCUUCAUUGUUACUACAGCUCCUGUUGUUAUUGUUGCACAUGCUUUUGCUAGGUGUACCACUCAGUAU